rnacentral:rRNA from 1 species
GUAUUAGUUAUGAUCUUGAAACCCAAAGGAUUUGGCGGUAUUUUAAUCUAAUCAGAGGAACCUGUCCCAUUAUCGAUAAUCCACGAUGGAAUUUACUUGAUUUAGUAAAACAGUUUGUAUACCUCCGUCAUCAGAGUAUCUUUUUAGAGUUAAUAUUCUUUUUAUUAAAAAUAUGAAAUGUCAGGUCAAGGUGCAAUUUAUAAUCAAGAGGAGAUGGGUUACAAUAAAUUUAUUUAUAUGGAUUAAGUUAUUUAAAAAUUUAUGAAAGUGGAUUUGACAGUAAUUUUAUUUACUAAAUAAUAUGAUUUUGGCUCUAAAAUAUGCACACAUCGCCCG